GAUGAACGCUGGCGGCGUGCCUAAUACAUGCAAGUCGAGCGAACGGACGAGAAGCUUGCUUCUCCGAUGUUAGCGGCGGACGGGUGAGUAACACGUGGAUAACCUACCUAUAAGACUGGGAUAACUUCGGGAAACCGUAGCUAAUACCGGAUAAUAUUUUGAACCGCAUGGUUCAAAAGUGAAAGACGGUCUUGCUGUCACUUAUAGAUGGAUCCGCGCUGCAUUAGCUAGUUGGUAAGGUAACGGCUUACCAAGGCAACGAUGCAUAGCCGACCUGAGAGGGUGAUCGGCCACACUGGAACUGAGACACGGUCCAGACUCCUACGGGAGGCAGCAGUAGGGAAUCUUCCGCAAUGGGCGAAAGCCUGACGGAGCAACGCCGCGUGAGUGAUGAAGGUCUUCGGAUCGUAAAACUCUGUUAUUAGGGAAGAACAUAUGUGUAAGUAACUGUGCACAUCUUGACGGUACCUAAUCAGAAAGCCACGGCUAACUACGUGCCAGCAGCCGCGGUAAUACGUAGGUGGCAAGCGUUAUCCGGAAUUAUUGGGCGUAAAGCGCGCGUAGGCGGUUUUUUAAGUCUGAUGUGAAAGCCCACGGCUCAACCGUGGAGGGUCAUUGGAAACUGGAAAACUUGAGUGCAGAAGAGGAAAGUGGAAUUCCAUGUGUAGCGGUGAAAUGCGCAGAGAUAUGGAGGAACACCAGUGGCGAAGGCGACUUUCUGGUCUGUAACUGACGCUGAUGUGCGAAAGCGUGGGGAUCAAACAGGAUUAGAUACCCUGGUAGUCCACGCCGUAAACGAUGAGUGCUAAGUGUUAGGGGGUUUCCGCCCCUUAGUGCUGCAGCUAACGCAUUAAGCACUCCGCCUGGGGAGUACGACCGCAAGGUUGAAACUCAAAGGAAUUGACGGGGACCCGCACAAGCGGUGGAGCAUGUGGUUUAAUUCGAAGCAACGCGAAGAACCUUACCAAAUCUUGACAUCCUUUGACAACUCUAGAGAUAGAGCCUUCCCCUUCGGGGGACAAAGUGACAGGUGGUGCAUGGUUGUCGUCAGCUCGUGUCGUGAGAUGUUGGGUUAAGUCCCGCAACGAGCGCAACCCUUAAGCUUAGUUGCCAUCAUUAAGUUGGGCACUCUAAGUUGACUGCCGGUGACAAACCGGAGGAAGGUGGGGAUGACGUCAAAUCAUCAUGCCCCUUAUGAUUUGGGCUACACACGUGCUACAAUGGACAAUACAAAGGGCAGCGAAACCGCGAGGUCAAGCAAAUCCCAUAAAGUUGUUCUCAGUUCGGAUUGUAGUCUGCAACUCGACUAUAUGAAGCUGGAAUCGCUAGUAAUCGUAGAUCAGCAUGCUACGGUGAAUACGUUCCCGGGUCU
rnacentral:rRNA from 1 species